rnacentral:rRNA from 1 species
UGAGUAACCUGCCCUUAACUCUGGGAUAAGCCUGGGAAACUGGGUCUAAUACCGGAUAUGACCUCCGAUGGCAUCAUCUGGAGGUGGAAAGCUCCGACGGUCAAGGAUGGGCUCGCGGCCUAUCAGCUCGUUGGUGAGGUAACGGCUCACCAAGGCUUCGACGGGUAGCCGGCCUGAGAGGGCGACCGGCCACACUGGGACUGAGAUACGGCCCAGACUCCGUACGGGAGCAG